rnacentral:misc_RNA from 1 species
GAUGAAGAACGUAGCGAAAUGCGAUAAGUAGUGUGAAUUGCAGAAUUCAGUGAAUCAUCGAAUCUUUGAACGCACAUUGCGCCUCCUGGUAUUCCGGGAGGCAUGCCUGUUCGAGCGUCAUUAAAAUCACUCAAGCUUAGGUUUACCUAUUGCUUGGUCUUGGAGAUGGAAGCCAAUUUAUUGGAAUCCUCUUCGAAAUUCAAUGGCGAAGACCCUUGCUCUCCCAAGUGUAGUAAUAACUUAUGUCACUGAAGGAAGCGAGAAAUCUUCUGCCGUAACCCCCAUAUUUUCUAUGAUUGACCUCGGAUCGGGUAGGGAUACCCGCUGAACUUAAGCAUAUCAAUAAGCGGAGGA